rnacentral:rRNA from 1 species
AUUGAACGCAGGCGGCAGGCUUUACACAUGCAAGCCGAGCGAGCGGCGGACGGGUGAGUAAUGUCUGGGAAACUGCCUGAUGGAGGGGGAUAACUACUGGAAACGGUAGCUAAUACCGCAUACCAUCAGAUGUGCACAGAUGGGAUUAGCUAGUAGGUGGGGUAAUGGCUCACCUAGGCGACGAUCCUUAGCUGGUCUGAGAGGAUGACCAGACAAACUGGAACUGAGACACGGUCCAGGCUCCUACGGGGGGCAGCAUUGGGAGAUAUGGCACAAUGGGCGCAAGCCUGAGGCAGCCAUGCCGCGUGUGUUAAGAAGGCCGUCGGGUUGUAAAGCACUUUCAGCGAGGAGGCGUUACUCGCAGGAGAGGCAGCGGCUAACUCCGUGCCAGCAGCCGCGGUAAUAC